ensembl:lncRNA
AGGGAGAGAGAUGUAGAGAGGGAGAGAGAUGUAGAGAGGGAGAGAGAUGUAGAGAGGGAGAGAGAUGUAGAGAGGGAGAGAGAUGUAGAGAGAGAGAGAGAUGUAGAGGGAGAGAGAUAUGUAGAGGGAGAAAGAUGUAGAGAGGGAGAGAGAUGUAGAGAGGGAGAGAUGAUGUAGAGAGAGAGAUGUAGAGGGAGAGAGAUGUACAGAGAGAGAGAUGUAGAGGGAGAGAGAUGUAGAGGAGGAGAGAUGUAGAGAGGGAGAGAGAUGUAGAGAGGGAGAGAUGAUGUAGAGAGAGAGAUGUAGAGGGAGAGAGAUGUACAGAGAGAGAGAUGUAGAGGGAGAGAGAUGUAGAGGGAGAGAGAUGUAGAGAGGGAGAGAGAUGUAGAGAGGGAGAGAGAUGUAGAGAGGGAGAGAUGAUGUAGAGAGAGAGAUAUGUAGAGGGAGAGAGAUGUAGAGAGGGAGAGAGAUGUAGAGAGGGAGAGA